AGGUUACAGGCUACAGGAGACAGAACAAAGGCUAACACACAGGACACGGGCUACAGGACACAGAGACAACUUGAGGACUCAGGAUAAGGACAUGGGACCCAGGCUUACAGGACUCAGGACAAACGCUAAAGGACGAAGACACUGGCUACAGGUCACAGGACACAGCUGCAGUGUACAGCACACUGGCCACAGGACAAAGGGCACAGCUACAGGAUAUAGGACACAGAUUGCAGUACACAGGACACAGGGUAGAGAACAUGAACACACCUGCAGCACACAGGCUACAGGAAACAGGCUACACAAGAUAGAACACAAGCUACAGCAUUCAGGGCAUUGGCCAGAGGGCUACAGGACACAGGAUACAGGACACAGAACACAGAACCCAGGACACAGACUAGAACACAGGCUACGGGACAUAGGUUACACGCUAGAUGGCACAGGAUAUAGGUCACAGGAUACAAGACAUAGGACACAGGACACAGGAGGCAGGACAGAGGCUACAGGACACAGGACACAGGAUACUCAAUGCAUCCAUAGGCCACAGGCUACAAGACAGAGGAUGCAGGCUACAUGA
rnacentral:lncRNA from 1 species